rnacentral:tRNA from 1 species
UCCCUGGUGGUUCAGCAGCUGGGACUCUGCGCUCCCAAUGCAGGGGGCCUGGGUUCAAUCCCUGUUCAGGGAA